rnacentral:lncRNA from 10 species
AGCUAUUGUGAUGAAUACAGUAAAAUCCUGGACCACUAAUCUGUCCAUCAAGGUGGAACGUUAGGAAGACUACCAUGUAAGGAUGAACUGGAGAAGAGUGAGUGUGGAAACAAGGAGACCAGGAUGGGACCCACAGUUUGAAAAACGUGAAUUGAUUCAAGCAGAGUGAUACUGGUGACUGCUGAGCUGUUUUCAUCCUGUUCAAUCAACAUUUGAAUGGAGGUAUAGAAGGAAUGCUCCCAAAUUUACACAUAGACUAAUAAGACAAUAAAUUAUUUGCAUGAUAUAAUCAGGAUUAAGAAAUUCCUAGCAGAUGAAAUUUAAUGGAUAAUUAAAUAGAAAAUUUGUAUUAAAUAAUCUUUUUUUUUUGUUUUGAAACAGAGUCUUGGUUUCUUGCCCAGGCUAGAGUGCAGUGGCAUGAUCUCUGCUCACUGCAACUUCUGCUUCCCGGGUUCAACUGAUCCUCCUGCCUCAGCCUCCUGAGUAGCUGGAAUUACAGGUGGCCACCACCACACCUGGCUAGUUUUUGUAUUUUUAGUAGAGAUGGGGUUUCACCGUGUUUUCCAGGCUGAUCUUCAACACCUGACCUCAAGUGACCCACCUGCCU